rnacentral:rRNA from 1 species
AACGAACGCUGGCGGCAGGCCUAAAACAUGCAAGUCGAACGAUCUAGCAAUAGAUAGUGGCGCACGGGUGAGUAACACGUGGGAAUAUCCCUUUCACUACGGAACAACGUCGGGAAACUGACGCUAAUACCGUAUAAUGUCUCCGGACCAAAGAUUUAUCGGUGAAAGAUUAGCCCGCGUCUGAUUAGCUAGUUGGUGAGGUAACGGCUCACCAAGGCAACGAUCAGUAGCUGGUCUGAGAGGAUGAUCAGCCACACUGGAACUGAGACACGGUCCAGACUCCUACGGGAGGCAGCAGUUAGGAAUAUUGGACAAUGGGGGCAACCCUGAUCCAGCCAUGCCGCGUGUGUGACGAAGGCCUUAGGGUUGUAAAGCACUUUCGUCUACGAAGAUAAUGACAGUAGUAGAAGAAGAAGCUCCGGCUAAAUUCGUGCCAGCAGCCGCAGUAA